UAGGGAAUCUUCGGCAAUGGGGGGAACCCUGACCGAGCAACGCCGCGUGAGUGAAGAAGGUUUUCGGAUCGUAAAGCUCUGUUGUUAAGGAAGAACGAGUGUGAGAAUGGAAAGUUCAUGCUGUGACGGUACUUAACCAGAAAGGGACGGCUAACUACGUGCCAGCAGCCGCGGUAAUACGUAGGUCCCGAGCGUUGUCCGGAUUUAUUGGGCGUAAAGCGAGCGCAGGCGGUUAGAAAAGUCUGAAAUGAAAGGCAGUGGCUCAACCAUUGUAGGCUUUGGAAACUGUUUAACUUGAGUGCAGAAGGGGAGAGUGGAAUUCCAUGUGUAGCGGUGAAAUGCGUAGAUAUAUGGAGGAACACCGGUGGCGAAAGCGGCUCUCUGGUCUGUAACUGACGCUGAGGCUCGAAAGCGUGGGGAGCGAACAGG
rnacentral:rRNA from 1 species